rnacentral:rRNA from 1 species
GAUGAACGCUGGCGGCGUGCUUAACACAUGCAAGUCGAACGGAAAGGCCAGUGCUUGCACUGGUACUCGAGUGGCGAACGGGUGAGUAACACGUGGGUGAUCUGCCCUGUACUUCGGGAUAAGCUUGGGAAACUGGGUCUAAUACCGGAUAGGACAACUUUUUGGAUAUUGUUGUGGAAAGCUUUUGCGGUAUGGGAUGAGCUCGCGGCCUAUCAGCUUGUUGGUGGGGUAAUGGCCUACCAAGGCGUCGACGGGUAGCCGGCCUGAGAGGGUGUACGGCCACAUUGGGACUGAGAUACGGCCCAGACUCCUACGGGAGGCAGCAGUGGGGAAUAUUGCACAAUGGGCGCAAGCCUGAUGCAGCGACGCCGCGUGGGGGAUGAAGGCCUUCGGGUUGUAAACUCCUUUCGCUAGGGACGAAGCUUUUUUGUGACGGUACCUGGAGAAGAAGCACCGGCUAACUACGUG